rnacentral:lncRNA from 1 species
AUGCAUGGUCUUGUCUACAUGUUCUUUGUUGAAAUACAUUUUCAGAAAGGUUGGGAGAAGUUUUCACAAAUUUUGUGUGUCUUAUACACCCAUUAUCCUACUGUCAAACCUGUCUUAUAUACCAUCACAAUCUUCAUCGUUGACACCAUGACAAAUUAAGGCAGACAGAAACUAUAUCUUCUACGUUUAAGGGCAACGUCUGCUCAAAGUGGAACUGUUCAAAUUACUUCCUGCUUUAACAAUGACAGGAAACUCUUUGUGUCCUUUGUUGCAUGCAGUUGCCCUAACUAUGGAUAUGAGCAGCUACAGAGCAAAGUGCAGCUGGUCAUUUAGAAAUGGGAAGAGGCAGAGCAGUCAGGAAGUCGGGUACUAGGGGAAGGCCUAAGCAAAAAAGAGAAUUUCAGUUUCAAAAUGCCUGAUAAACAGUUUGAGUAUCACUAGGUUUCUAAAGAGCAAGCAAAUUGAGCAAAUGCUAAUUAUUCCCCUUGGCAUCUGCAUAUCGGAGGUUGUUGAUAUUAGGUUGUUAACUAGGUUUAUAUGGGUGCCCAUAUCAGAUAUCUUUGGGCUAUCUCACAAAAUAGAUGCACCAUCAAGGAUAGAACAAUGACUGUGAUUACAAAGCAAAACAAAAAACAAAUACAGAUUGGUGGGAGAUGCAGAAUGCCCCAGUGAAUGAAAAAAAAGCCAGCAACUUGUGCUGACUAGAUGGUGACCAAUAGUUUUUCCUUGGAGAUAGUUCCAUAACUAAAGGGUAAACUAUCAUACAAGUCCUCCCUACAGCAGUCAGCCGGAGGGCUCCAACAAACCUCAGCAUCUUCUCCGCUUCUGCUUUGUUGAUGAUGGUUGACUGUGGUAAGUCAGAGGUGUCUGAAUGAUAUGGAAAUGGCACUGAUGAGGCAGUUUGGUGAGGAGAGGAAGAGAUUUAACAAUGUCAAGUCAUUACAUCUUGGGGGUGUGUGAAGGGAAAAAAAGCUUCUACAUUGUCCAGCAGGUAUAAAUCACCACCACCAGCAAAACAACAGCUGCCGAGAGUGCUACAAUUUUGCGAUUCUCCUGAUGAAGAAUUUUAAGUUCUUUUUCUGAAAAGAAGAAAUACACUUAGGUGAGUUGCUACUUUCACUUCAAAAUAAACCACAACCACUUUUUAAAUAUCA